GCGGACUUCCAGAACUCAGACACUAGGCCCUAGCGUAAAUUGGCUACACCGGCGGAGGUAGCAGACGUUGCCACACCACAAACACGUGCAACCAGGGGGAGAAACUACCUUAAACA